rnacentral:rRNA from 1 species
CCUACGGGAGGCAGCAGUGGGGAAUAUUGGGCAAUGGAGGCAACUCUGACCCAGCAAUGCCGCGUGAGUGAAGACGGUCUUCGGAUUGUAAAGUUCUUUAAUCAGGGACGCAGGCGAUCACGGUACCUGACGAAUAAGCCACGGCCAACUAAGUGCCAUCAGCCGCGUUAAUGCCUGGGUGGCAAGCGUUUUCCGGAAUGACUGGGCGUACAGGGAGCGUAGGCGGUCUGUUAAGUUUGAAGGGAAAUCCCGGGGCUCAACCCCGGAACUGCUUUCAAGACUGACGGACUUGAGUGUAAGAGGGGUAAGCGGAAUUCGUAGUGUAGCGGUGGAAUGCGUAGAUAUCAGGAGGAACACCAGUGGCGAAGGCGGCUUACUGGAGUAUAACUGACGCUGAGGCUCGAAAGCGUGGGUAGCAAACAGGAUUAGAUACCCGUGUAGUC